rnacentral:rRNA from 1 species
UCUGCUCAAUGAUUUUUUAAAUUGCUGUGGUAUUUUGACUAUACAAAGGUAUUGAAAUAAGAUUUUAAUUGAAUGCUAAGAGAAUGGAAUUUCAGAAAAAAACUUUUUUCAAGUUAAAAAUUGAAAUUUUUUUAAUUUGUGCAGAAACAAUUAUUAAUAUUAAGGACAAGAAGACCCUAUGAAUUUAUAAAUUUUAUUUAAUAUGUAACUAUUAUUAAAAAAAUUUUGGCUGGGGCGGCGGAAAAAUAUUUAAAACUUUUUUAAAAUAAAAUGACCCAUUAUUAAUGAUUAUAUGUUAAAUACUCUAGGGAUAACAGCGUAAA